rnacentral:rRNA from 1 species
UGGGGAAUAUUGGACAAUGGGCGCAAGCCUGAUCCAGCCAUACCGCGUGGGUGAAGAAGGCCUUCGGGUUGUAAAGCCCUUUUGUUGGGAAAGAAAUCCAGCCGGCUAAUACCUGGUUGGGAUGACGGUACCCAAAGAAUAAGCACCGGCUAACUUCGUGCCAGCAGCCGCGGUAAUACGAAGGGUGCAAGCGUUACUCGGAAUUACUGGGCGUAAAGAGUGCGUAGGUGGUCGUUUAAGUCCGUUGUG